CUAUUAGGUCCAUAAAUUACCAUAUAGCAUAUAUUCAACAUAAAAAACAGUGACAAUUUGUUGUUGACAAAGGACAGCUGGACAUAUAAAGGGCCCAUUUACCUUCAGUAGCUUAGGGCUCAUCAAACCUACCGUAAAUCUGAAUCCUCAUCUAGUGUGCUUGGCCUAGAAAAUGCUAUUGGUAUCCCUGACUGAGACAUUGUGAUGGUUUACCAUUACUCACUCAAACCAUUUUUCUAUCGAAAAGUAGUGGUUCUUGGUAUAGUCCACAAUUAUCCAAGGCACAAUUGAAAGAGAUGACUCUGAACUUGAAAGCUGUAAAGUGGCUGGGCCUGAGUUAACUCAAGAACUCUUUAUCCCUAUAGGAACCAUGCAUAUCUACUCAGAAGACAGGCCCAUUGAGUUCCAUUGGCUUUACUAUCAGGUAAACAGUCUGGUCCUACCCAUUGAAAUUAAUGGGCAUGACUAACUUCAAAAGCUGCAAUGGAUCUCCUCUAAGCAGAACUCAGCUGGAUACAACCCUAAGAAUAGGACCACUCCUUUAGUUUGACCCUAAAUAUGUUUGCUCAAAUGUAGGUCCUAUUAAGUUCAAUUAGACUAACUUCCAUAAAAGUAUGUGUAUGGUUGUCUCCCAAUCCUUAAUGCAGUUGGUAUAAUAAACUCUAUGGUUGUGUCCACACAUUUAAAGAGCUCCCCCCACCCCCGAAUCCUGAGAACUGUAGUUUAUAUCAACAGAGCUACAAUUCCCAGGAUUCAUUGGGGAAAGUUGUGCACUUUAAAUGUAUGGUAUACAGGAUAUCUAUGGGAGAAGAAAAGGAUGAGUAAACCCUACAUAAAUCUGGAGAGGAGUCCCUAAGACAGUUGGAUGGCGCCUUGUAUACUUCCUUCCAGCAACUCCUGCAGCCAAACUGGUGCAAAAUGGAUUGCUCUGCUUUCCUUUGGAUCACAUCAGUGAGGCCAAGACUGGGGUCCUGUUAUCUGGGCAGUCCAGGACCUCCAUACACACUGCCCAGGCUUGCACCCUGGGGGGGAGGUCACUUCAGUACUUCUUAUGCAAUGGUUUGACUUCUCUUCCAGUGGUGCAGUCUAUGUAUCUCAGGACAGACAGAUGCCUACAAUACAGCCUAAUAGACCCCCAACCCCCAUUUAAAUCUGUAGGAUUCAAAGCAUACAUCGUAAAAACCAAAUUCAGCUAGACUUUAAUGUAUCCCUGCAUGCAGUUCAAUCCUACGUUGGUUUACUCAGUAAACUCCACUUUGUAUAGUUGGAGCUACUACAAAGUAAGCAGACAGAGGAACACGGCCUUAAGCAAUCUCAUACUGGCUUACUUGUGAGCGAGCCCCAUUUGAGACUUCCUUCUGAAAACGGAAAACCACACAUAGGAACAGAUUAAAGCAUUUGCAAUCUCUGAUAAAGGAAUGAGACCAUCCAGAUUUUGGGAGGAGUUUGGUGUCAGGACUCUUGGGUUCUAUUCCUGGGCCUAUUACUGAUUCAGCAUCUGAAGCUGAGUGACUCACUUCCCCACUGUGGCCUCAGCUUCCCCAUCUGUGGAAAGCCCUUUGGGAUCAUUGGAUAGGAAGCACUAAAUAUAACACCCACCUCCGCCCCCGCUGAAUUAUCCAAAGGAGGAAGGGGAAAUAAUCAGGACUGGGACAGCUCUGCCAUCCAGAGAGGCACAGCAGGUGCCAAUGAACUGCCAUAUCAGAACCCUCAAAAUUCUUCUACACAAAGAACAAAAUCCAGAAGAAACUUUAAGUGACUACUGGAAAUACCCAUGUAGCUUUUUGAUCCUGAAAUAGCUUUCCUUUAACUUUACUGUAAGAGAGCAUAUCUUGUGAAUAUACUUCCCCCGUCGUAUUUUUAUAUAUAUAUCUUGUCCCAAAGGACAUUUUACCUCAGCUAGGAUGAAUCCCCAAGCAAGGAUAGCACAUUCCCUGAUGAUAACUGGAAUAUAACGCCGGCACCAGAACACAGAGAGGAACCUGAGCACUUUGAUAGCGCUUUCCAGCCUAGGACUCAACAGGCAGGUCACUUUGGAACUCCAGACACACCCAACAGCAACCCAUGCUCCACUCCAACCACAAGGGGGGCCAGGCACCCCACACAUGUAAACUAGAGAAGGGGGCAGCAAUGCUAUACAGCUGAAAUCCUGUGACUCACCCUUGGCUCUCACUCCUGCCCCCCUCCCAGCCUUUAUUACAUGUGGAUGCUGUGUCCUGUCUGAACUGAAUUGCCCUAACACACUCUUCUUCGGACAGUAGGGAGUGGUGUCUCCCAAACACAAGGCAAGCACUCGUCUCCAACUAAGCUCUCUGUUCAAAAAGGCCAGGUACUCCACUUCAGUCAUUGUUGCUGCUGGCCGAACACUAAUCUUGUUGGGACCUGAGCCAAAAGCAGGCCGAGUUCUCCUUCCCUCUCCCCCCCUUCCCCUUCCCCUUCCCCUCCUUGUUACUCAUGUAAAAUUAAGUCAAGGCUGCGGGUAACCCUUCACUGCCAUAUACACUUAACCUGGGAGUAACUCCCAUUGAAUACAAUGCAUAAGACUGCACAGUUAAUCAGACACUGUGUAGUAAAAUGGUGGUUUUUCCAGUAUGACCUUAUGAGUGAAGUAGGGAUUUGAAUCCACUUUUAGAAAGAAAAUAAAAAACACAGAGAUCAACUGAAGACUUAUGUUGCUGGCAAACAGCUGCAAAACAGCAGGGUGUGUGUUUUUACCCACAAUGCAACUAACACAUGCCUGCAACCCCAGCUUGGAAGACUGAAAGUUCAGAACUAGAGAGAGAGGAGUUUUUAUUCCAUGAUUACUGUAACAGAGCAGCCUCUACACAGAUGCUCAUGUGCUGUCAGAGGGAGAGAGGAAUGUAGCAGCCUCUUCUGCCUUUGGGGAGUGUCUGAAAUGGGGAAGGUUAUGGCUGGCACCUGUACAUGGAUGAAUGCACCACAAAAGGAUGAAUGCUGUGUCCUGAUCCACCACAUGCUGAUCCACCGCUGAUCCACCACAAAAGGAUCAACUGUGCUCACGCACGGGCUCCAGCACAGCCAGCAGCCCUUAGCUGCCCUCUCCAAUUGGGACAUGCAUAUGGAGACUCCCACUUGAACGGUCUCUGACAGAAAUAAACAAACCUGGUCUGGACUAAACGCCAGACAGUCAUAAAAACAGAGACAGAGGUAGGGCUCUUAUCAGGGGAGAGGCUGUAACAGAGCCAGGCCUGGCCACAGGGCACAGAGUCCCAGAAGAAUGUACUCGGGGCACUGGGUGUAGCCAGCAGCAUGCUACCUUUAUGUUGCCAGCCAGCUGGAAAUCUGAAAGAUGGAUAUUAAGCUGGUUCCAAUUUGCUCAAAACCAGACCCAACUCACUCCACAGGAUCCUAGUUCCCAAUUUUCAACCAGGCUCAGAAAUCCGAAGCCAAAUGUAAGAAAUGCUCCUUUGUUCUCUAUCUCUCUCUAAUCAGCAGACCCCACUGCUCAUCCAGUGCUGGUUUCCGCACCUGCUUUCUAUGCCUUUCUCCAUCAGCCAGAUACAGCUUUUCCAACCCAAUCUCAGCCUGGUUCUUUUUGGUUCUGUUUGACUCCAACCACCUCAAGCCAUUUCUUUACAGAUCUGCAUAUGCCCCUCCCCACAUAACAUACAAAAAACCAAGCCACCCCUUUUUACUUGUGUUCAGAGACUCAGGGUAGGAGGAGGGUGGGUGGGUGGGUGGGUGGGUGGGUGAAGAAGGGGCUUGGCCAAGCUAUGGCUUCUCUGAACAGUUAGGGAUUAGUGCCAAGGGCAGGGAGUUUCUAAUCCUGGCAUUUCGUGUCUCUGCCCAUCCCAGGGCUGUGCCCGUCUGCCUCCUACUCAGCCUGUGCAGCAAUGCAUGCCUCUGCCCUUCCCCCUAAAAAAGCAAGUGGGAUACUUUCGAGGCAGAGAAAAAUGAAAACCUGUUUGUGGGAAGCCCUCCACCCAAAGUCUAUAUGAGAAUGCAUGCUUGUUUUUCUUCCUGCUGA
rnacentral:lncRNA from 1 species